rnacentral:lncRNA from 1 species
AAUUAAAAGUAAGCUGCUUGGCCACGCAAUAACAAGGGUGCAUUCUACUAUACAUUCUUGUCCAACGCACUGGGCACAACAUAACUUACAAGGCAAAUCACACUAAACAUCGGUUGCAUUUUGUUGCCUUUUUCUUAGGUCAUUUCAUUUCUACUUAAUAUAAUAUACAAACGGACGCCACUACUUACUACUCCCUCCGUCUCGAAAUAAGUGUCUCAACUUUGUAUUAGAGCUAGUACAAAGUUGUAUUAAGUUUGAGACAUUUAUUUUUGGGACAGAUGGUGUAUUAGAAGAAGGCAGAGCAAUGCAUCACUGCAGGCAGAAAAGGCGCAGGAUCUGCUCGAUUCUUUAAGCUUGGCAUCCCAACCUAGCGAGGCUGGUGGAUGAAGCGGGGUGCGCCACCGCUCCUCGGGCUGCCGGCGUACUUGGUGGGCUUCUCGGUGUACCUAGGCUUCUCCGAGAAGCCACGCAGGGCGUCGCCGCCCUUUGGGCUUGGGGACGACAGGCUCAGUGCCUUGAGCACCCCGUCUGCACAUACAGAAGCACAUACGUGAUGAGCUCACUGCAGUCUUGCUUCAUCUUUUAUUUGAGCGCCCAUAUCUACAGUAUGUACACAUAUAGGCGUUGAGAGUGAAUUGGUUGACACGUACCAAUCUUGAGUGCCGCUGGCGGCUGCGGCUGCGGCUGCGAAGCCUCGACGGCGAUGGCGUCCUCGGCCUCGAAGGCGAUGAGGGAGUCGGCCAUAUCGUCGAGCUGCUGGUGCUGGUGGUACCAGUGGUCGCGAAACCAGGCGCUGGACUUGACGAGGUCCCACCACUGCGGUGAGAAGUCCUCCACCUGCUGUAACGCUGCCGGGAUGAAGAGCGGGGCCUCCGGGUUAAGCGACGACGCGACCAUGGCGCUCAUGAUUUCCCUGUUGCUCUUGGUCUGGUCCUGGUCAGAUCAAAAUCAAAACCACGCAGAGAUCAGCGACCGGAUCCAGUCGUGAGUUGGCGUCGCGAAACAGAGAUGAAACAGGGUUGCAGAUCAAGAAACUAGAGC